AGUCAUUCAUUGCAUAAAAUUUGUAGGCAUCCAAAGACUAUCAUCCUUGAUCCUUGAAUUGUUUUUCUAGCCGAUACAAAACCAAGUGUUAACCCAACGGUUACAAACGUCAAUUUCAUCCGGAUUACCACCUGAUUCGCCACUUUUUUCUCAUGAAACACUGAAAAAAUUAUCUAGGAAGAGUGCAUCAUGCAUUGUUGGAUCAGAAAAUCAAAUUAUGAGAAGUAGAGUUGGAGCUAGAGUUGAGAUGGUAAGAAGUGGAAUCAUAGCUAGAUCUGGUCUGGUCAAGAAUAGGAUUCGAGAUGAGCACUUGGUAGCGGGUUUAGAGAUGAAGUAAGAAACAACUUCUGACUUGCUUACCGAGGGAGUUGGGGCCUGGGUUGCUGAGUGUAAGACUUAUUCAUACCGAUGUGAAGCCAGAAAACAUUUGUUUGUUUCUCUAAAGUACAUCAGGGUGCCCGAUUACAAGAUGCUUGCUACUACAGAAAUGUACCACUAUCUAGUUCUUUCAAGCUCAUUGGUUACAAAAUUAGGACCCUUUCUUCCGAAUCUCUAGAUAUGAAGAAGACGGGUGUAUUGCAGUUCAUGAAACUGAAGUGGUGAAGAAUUAUUUGAAUCCUGCUUGGAAGAGUACAAAUCUAAAUUUGCAACACUUUCAU